rnacentral:rRNA from 1 species
GACGAACGCUGGCGGCGUGCUUAACACAUGCAAGUCGAACGGAAAGGCCCUGCUUUUGUGGGGUGCUCGAGUGGCGAACGGGUGAGUAACACGUGAGUAACCUGCCCUUGACUUUGGGAUAACUCCAGGAAACUGGGGCUAAUACCGGAUAGGAGCUCCUGCUGCAUGGUGGGGGUUGGAAAGUUUCGGCGGUUGGGGAUGGACUCGCGGCUUAUCAGCUUGUUGGUGGGGUAGUGGCUUACCAAGGCUUUGACGGGUAGCCGGCCUGAGAGGGUGACCGGCCACAUUGGGACUGAGAUACGGCCCAGACUCCAACGGGAGGCAGCAGUGGGAAAUAUUGCACAAUGGGCGGAAGCCUGAUGCGGCAACGCCGCGUGCGGGAUGACGGCCUUCGGGUUGUGAACCGCUUUCGCCUGUGACGAAGCGUGAGUGACGGUAAUGGGUAAAGAAGCACCGGCUAACUACGUG